ACUUGAAUAUUAGUAGUUAUGGGCUUUAAAUUCAAAGAAUUUGGCGGUAUUUUAGUCUUGUUAGAGGAACCUGUUCUGUAAACGAUACAACACGAAAAAUCUUACUUACUUUUGUUUAACAGUUUGUAUACCGUCAUUAUUAGAUUACCUUCGUAGAGAAAGUUAUUGAAAUUUAAGAAGUUGAAGUAUAUUAGAUCAAGGUGCAGUUUAUAAGUAAGAAGAAAUGGGUUACAAUAAAAUUUAUUUAUACGUAUCAGUAAUUGAAUAGUUUCUGUGAAGGAGGAUUUAAUUGUAACAUAUAAUUUAAUAAGUUAGUGUGAUAUGAGAACUAAAAUAUGUACAUAU
rnacentral:rRNA from 1 species